GGAGAUGUGGCUCAGUGGUAGAGCACUUGCCUGGGCAUGUGUUAAGGCCCUAGGUUCAAUCCUCAGUACCACCA
rnacentral:tRNA from 1 species